rnacentral:rRNA from 1 species
GAUACCCUAUUAUUAGAAACGUAAAUUUUAAAGUUAAUUAUUAAUUGUUAUGUUCAUGAAAAUUAAAGAAUUUGGCGGUAUUUUAGUCUAUUCAGAGGAACCUGUCCUAUAAAUGAUAGUCCACGAUUUAUAUGAUUUACUUUAUUAGUUUAUAUACCGCUGUAGUUGAAUAUUUUAGAAGAAUUUAAAUGUUCAUGAUUUUUUUUUAUGGAAGAUAAAUCAAGUCAAGGUGUAGCUUAUAGGUGAAUAGAGAUGGGUUACAAUAAAUUUAUUUAAAUGGAUUAUUCAAUUAAAUUUGAGUAUGAAAUUGGAUUUGAUAGUAAUAUUAAAUAA